rnacentral:rRNA from 1 species
UACAGAGGUGGCAAGCGUUGUUCGGAAUUACUGGGCGUAAAGGGCGCGUAGGUGGCCAUCUAAGUCAGACGUGAAAUCCCCCGGCUUAACCUGGGAAUUGCGGUUGAAACUACAGGGCUAGAAUCUGGCAGAGGGGGGUGGAAUUCCACGUGUAGCAGUGAAAUGCGUAGAGAUGUGGAGGAACACCGAUGGCGAAGGCAGCCCCCUGGGCUGAGAUUGACGCUCAGGCACGAAAGCGUGGGGAGCAAAUAGG